AACUGUGGUGGAGAUAUAUGUCUCCAGAGAAGAUUUGUCCUUGCUUCCGAGGAAUUCCCUGGAAUACAACCCAACUAGGACCACUUUAAUUCCUCAGUUUGGUACUUCCAAGACCUUGGACAAGGUUAAAUUGGAAUUCUGGACAUUUGUGAGGAUGUUUGAGAAGACUAUCAGAAAAUGAAUUGGUCUGAGAGUCAGGAAAUAAGAAUUUUAGAUCUGGAUCUAUUAAUAACCUUUAACAAAACCUUGCCUUCUUUAAGACUUGGUUUCCUUAAACAUAAAAUAAAGGUAAGGCUUGAUCUCCAUCAAUGUUUUACAAAUGGUGAUUCAUGUCACAUUGGGGGUCAUGAUAUCAGUUUGGUGAGUUGAAUCCAGCAUGCAGUAAUGAUAUGUAUUGUAUCAUGACACUUUAGUUCUGUAUGUGUGUGUGAGUGUGUUUGUGUACUAGAUUGUGAUACAGAUUUUACUUCUUACUAUGAGUUAUACUCAAAAACAUAUGAGAAACAUUGAUAUGGAUGACCUCUAAGCAUGUGAUCAACUCUAAAAAUCCAUUAUUCUUCCGUCUUCUGGAGUUGCUCUGAUCUUCUGAAUGGUUCUAAUCCUGGAUGAUUAAUUUAAUAGUAGCACUGGGGAUCCUCCUGUCCAAUCUUUGCCCAGUACAGCCCUGACUCUGCCUUCCUUCCUCCUACCUAGAGACUUAACAUUUUUCUGCAGCUUGAAAGUGGGAGAACCCUUCUCCAUCCCAUAUUAACACUUAGCUCAGGAAAUAAUCCCCACACAACCCUCCUUACUCCCAUGCCCUCCAUCUGGAGUUCCUGGGGGGAGAUGGGCUCUGGACCAUUGUUGGAGGCACUUUCAGGACGAUUGGAUCCAUUCUUCCAGCGGCCUCUCUCCUUGGCUUUUCCUAAGUGCAGCCAGCAUCUGCCCUUGCCUUGGGACUAGCUGUCCAGAAGAGGGGGUGCCUGGGUGGCAGGAGCUCAUCCCCAGGAUGCUAAUCCAUGCAUCUAUCAGCACCCAGAAUCCUCAGGGCCAAGAGACCACCUUGACAGAGAAAGGAGGAAUAAAGGCAGGAGGGACAUGGAAGAGGAAUGGGUCUCAGCAGGAGCUUGGAGUGCAUCCCUGAAAAAACAGAGAAGCUCGUCCCUGUGGUGAGGAGAUUUCAUGGGAGAUUGUUUUCCAGAGGGUGAGGGGAUUGCAGGGCUCCAGGCUCAGAGCAGUGAAGCAGCACAUGCCAUGAAGCCAGGCAAACAUGAGUUGUAAUCCCAGCUCUGUCUCUUACAAGCUCUGAUUUCCCUAAGCUUUAGGUUUCUUGUUCUCAAAAUAAUCCUGCUAUACAAGAUGUUAUCGUGUUUCAACGAGAUGAUGUAUCUGUGUGCCUGGCACAUAAUAAAUUCUCAAGAAAUGUUAUCUUUCCUCCUAGUGUCUAGAGGAAGUGAGGGAGGGUUCCCAAAGGUCAAAAUUAACAAAUGACUUCUGGACAGAAGUUCGUCUCUCUACCCCUUACCCCACUGCACUGUCCAAGUGGAUAAGUCUCUGCUUAUUUUGUAAUAUUAAGAACAAUUACCAUGCACUGACCACCAGUGAUUUUCCAGGUGUUGUGCUAGGCUCCUUGAAUAAAUUAUCUCAUUAAUUCUUACCAAAACCCUAUGUAGCAGGUUUUACUGCCCCAAUACAGAUUAGGAAACUAAGGCUCAGAGAAAUUAGUCAAAUUAUCUGAGGACCCAAAGCCAGAAAGUGGCGAACUAGGAUUCAUACCCUGAUCUAUGUGGCUAUAAAAAAGUCUUUGCCUGUUCCCCAACUCUGCUGUUUCUAUGCUUUGGUUUCUUCAUUUUUCAUUAAGGAGAAUAUGUCUUUUUUCUCUCUCUCUCCUUCUGAGGUAUCACAGAGCAAUGAGAAGGAGUGAAUGAAAGGAGGAUUAUUUGAGAGUGUCACUGAGUGACCCAUCUGCAGCAAAAACAGGUCUUUCUAUACAAAGGGGUAUGCGUAGCAGUGCAAUAUGUAUUGAAAUUACUCUAGAAUCAGAAGAACCUUACUUUUGACAAUUCCAGUCCAUUGGCAGUGGCAACUUGGCGUGCUGUGUUGGGAAUUCACAGACCACAUUUGCUGUGAUAAUUAGCGAUCUUCCCCAUGAGUGCAGGAGUGAAGAAGCUGGCACCAGGUACCAUGUUUUUGCCAUCCCAGCUCAAGAAGUUAGAUGCUUUCUCAUGGUUCCACUUGGAAAUUCCUGUGGUUUCCCAAACCACUGCAGUUAUAAGAAGUUAGAAAAGACACCAGAAUGGUACCCAUGAACUGAACACAGAAAUACAGGUGAGUACUCUGUGCCAGGCAUUUUGGCUAGAAAAUGUGGAUAUUGUGGUUUAUCAGAUAAAGCUCCUGAUCUUUGGAUCCCCUAAAAUGAAACCCUGUGAAAAUGAUUUGAGUGUGGAUAGUUUAUUUCAGGAGUGAUUCCAGGAAGGUAAGUGAGGAAGUGAAACAAGCAACACAAGAGAGAGAAGAGCCAACAGAGGGUACCUCAAGGAGAAGGCUAGCACAGCGGGCAGCUAGAGCCCAGUCCACUGCUGACUCCGACAGACUGUGUGGAACAUGCCCCAGAAUUGUCUCACCAGCAGGAAGGGAAGUUGGAGCAUUUAUAUAUGACUCCCAUCUCUCAUUUGUUGAGGACUGUUCCUAGAGCAUUAAUUCUCUUGUACUUCCAGGUUUUGCCUACAAGUGCUGCAGCAGUCUGCCCUGGUAUCACUGAAAGCCUUCAGUCAAAGAAAAAAUAUCCAGGAUCUUGAGUUGGGAAGCUGUUUGCAUACCACAGCUGCAGUUUCCUCCUGGAUCCACGGAAUAAAUCGAGCCACAGACACAAACAUACCAGGCCUCCCCCUGGAGCCAGACCUUAUGCCCCAACUGAAGACACCCACUUGGAAGAGCCUCUGGGUUCCAUGGAUGGUACAGACCAUAGGUGCCCCACUGUCUCCCUGGGAAUGAGAAGGAAGGAGGAGCAGUAGGCAAACAAUCAACAGUACCCUUUUGCAGGCAGAUGGGCAUUUUGAAGUUACUGAACUGUACUGGUGUGGCAAGCAGGAGCAGAGAGAGGUCGCUGUCAAUGUGGGGUGGUUUGUAAUCUUUGUGGAUAAUUAUCUUCUGCACUUGCUUUCUCUCCAAGUGGAUAUCGCUGAAUUUUCUGGUUCCCAUGACCACCGUCACAUUUCCCAUUGCCAUUUCUAAUCUAAAGAAUAAAUAUAAUAACACCAAUGCCAAUAAUAGUUGUACUGUAUUUCACAUUUGUAGAUACAUUUUUAAACAAUAGAGUUUAUAAAUAAAUACUGAGAAGUUCAAAGUAGUGAGAGUGUGGUGAUCCAGAGAGUAGCUGGAGAUCAAAUAGGCAGAAGUCAGGGGUCAAAACUCAGGAGAAUCUCUGAGCCAGUGAACUCUCAGCCCAGGGAGUUUUCCAUUAUCAAAGGAAGUGGAACAAAUCCAUCUGAGAGAACAGGAUGCAAGGUCCUUGAUGACAGGGAGCUUGGCUGUCUCACUACUGCUAUAUACCCCGGCUCUUAGAACAGCAUCUGGUGGCACAUAGUAGGUGUUCAGUGAGUAUGAACAGAAUGAGUGAGCACAAUGUAUUGUCUACAUAUACAGAUGACAGGCAGGAGGAGAGAAGCCUUUUACCAGUUUUCCAAUACUGACUGCAUAGCUUCAGUCCAACUUGGAUAUGGUUAAGUAAGUAAA